AAGGUGAAAUUCUCAGAUUAACUAAAGACUAACUUAUGCGAAAGCAUUUGCCAAGGAUGUUUUCAUCGAUCAAGAACGAAAGU
rnacentral:rRNA from 1 species